rnacentral:rRNA from 1 species
GUUGCAGGGUAUAGACCCGAAACCCGGUGAUCUAGCCAUGGGCAGGUUGAAGGUUGGGUAACACUAACUGGAGGACCGAACCGACUAAUGUUGAAAAAUUAGCGGAUGACCUGUGGCUGGGGGUGAAAGGCCAAUCAAACCGGGAGAUAGCUGGUUCUCCCCGAAAGCUAUUUAGGUAGCGCCUCGUGAAUUCAUCUCCGGGGGUAGAGCACUGUUUCGGCUAGGGGGCCAUCCCGGCUUACCAACCCGAUGCAAACUGCGAAUACCGGAGAAUGUUAUCACGGGAGACACACGGCGGGUGCUAACGUCCGUCGUGAAGAGGGAAACAACCCAGACCGCCAGCUAAGGUCCCAAAGUCAUGGUUAAGUGGGAAACGAUGUGGGAAGGCCCAGACAGCCAGGAUGUUGGCUUAGAAGCAGCCAUCAUUUAAAGAAAGCGUAAUAGCUCACUGGUCGAGUCGGCCUGCGCGGAAGAUGUAACGGGGCUAAACCAUGCACCGAAGCUGCGGCAGCGACGCUGAUGCGUUGUUGGGUAGGGGAGCG